rnacentral:rRNA from 1 species
UACGUAGGCAGCGAGCGUUGUUCGGAGUUACUGGGCGUAAAGCGCACGUAGGCGGUUAUUAAGUCAGGGGUGAAAUCCCAGAGCUCAACUCUGAACUGCCUUUGAUACUGCAAAUCUCGAGUCCGAUAGAGGUGGGUGGAAUUCCUAGUGUAGAGGUGAAAUUCGUAGAUAUUAGGAAGAACACCGGUGGCGAAGGCGGCCCACUGGAUCGGUA